rnacentral:rRNA from 1 species
UACGAAGGGGGCUAGCGUUGUCCGGAAUCAUUGGGCGUAAAGCGCGCGUAGGUGGCCCUGUAAGUCCGUUGUGAAAGUCAAAGGCUCAACCUUUGAAAGCCGAUGGAUACUGCAGGACUAGAGUACGGAAGAGGCGAGUGGAAUUCCUGGUGUAGCGGUGAAAUGCGCAGAUAUCAGGAGGAACACCGGUGGCGAAGGCGGGUCUCUGGGCCGAUACUGACGCUGAGGAGCGAAAGCGUGGGGAGCAAACAGG